AUCUGAUCAUUAAAUUUGUGUUCUGUUAAUCUGAUCAUUAAAUGAUAUUAUUACAUAUUUAACACCUUCUUAAUUAUAUCAAAGCAAGAGAUGGAAUUUUGUGCUCAGCGGCUCAAACAUGCCUUCAUUUGUUCUCUGGUCCUCUGGACUAGAAAGCCCCUUAUCAUGGGGUCUUCCUUUAUAUACUUACUCCAUACUUGGUCUGCACACUUUUUUAUUAGGUGCUUUUAAACAAAUAUAUCUUUGCCUAUCAAUAUAUAUACAUUUUGCAACCAUCAAAGACUUCUUAAAAAGGCAAAUUAUGUAUAAUUUAUCUUGUGUUUUACUUUUUAUGAUUUUAUUGUGUUCCUACUUUUUCUUAAUUAUUAUGUUUCUUUGUAUCCUGAAGCAUGGUUCAGAUGGCAAGGAAUUGAGUAAGGAGGUUCUAGAUUUAACUCUACAUUUGUUUUUACGUCCAAAUUUGUCCCAUUAGAUUUUAAUUUUUGGAAUAAAAUAUAAUUAAACUGGAUUUUCUGUAUACUUUUCAGAUUUUCUAAAUCAAGAAAGCGUAUUUGAUUUUAUGACCGUUAUAAAACGGUUCUAAAUUCAAUCUUUUCUGUAGCUUAGUUUUUUCUAUAAAUACCACAAUGCAAUACGCGUCUUUCCAUCGACAUUGGAGAUCAUCUGCGCUCAGCUGAUGAUGAGCGGCCAGUUGAGCCAGUAUUCUGGCCUCCAAACCCAGAAGAGGUGAAGUCUCUGAUCAACAAAUAUAUAAGGACAUAGCAAGAAGGCAAAAGAACUGAAAAUCCUGGAAGGCAACCAGAGUACAGAACCAAAGAACUUGUCUGUGGUUCAGCUGAAGGAAUUAUUGAACAAAUGUGAUGAUAAACUUGAAGCCAUUAAUUAUAGAAUGGAAACACUGUUCUUUUGGACGAACCUGAUGAACGGGUGAUGGACGAAGAGGAGUAUGCAGCAAGAACUUGUUGUUGAUUCGUUUAGAUCCUUUGAAGCUGUGAGGCAAAUAGUUUAGCUGCUCAAACAUAUCUUCAUUUGUUCUCUGGUCGUUUGUAUUAGAAAGCCCCUCACUGUGGGAUGUAAAUGUUUGUCAGUUUUAGAUUUUCUUGACUGGUUGGGUUUGUUAAUAGGAGGAUGUUUUCUUUUUCUUUUCCUUUCGCCCUUUAUGUGGGUUUUCAUCCCUUCUUCUGUAUGGUGCUUUUAAAUAAACCUAUGUUUACCAAUCAAUAUAUGAUAUAUACCAACCAUCAAAUUAAUUCUAUGUUC